AACGAACGCUGGCGGCAGGCCUAACACAUGCAAGUCGAGCGCCCCGCAAGGGGAGCGGCGGACGGGUGAGUAACGCGUGGGAACGUGCCCCAAGCUACGGAAUAGCCCCGGGAAACUGGGGGUAAUACCGUAUGUGCCCUACGGGGGAAAGAUUUAUCGCCUUGGGAUCGGCCCGCGUUGGAUUAGGUAGUUGGUGGGGUAAUGGCCUACCAAGCCGACGAUCCAUAGCUGGUUUGAGAGGAUGAUCAGCCACACUGGGACUGAGACACGGCCCAGACUCCUACGGGAGGCAGCAGUGGGGAAUCUUAGACAAUGGGCGCAAGCCUGAUCUAGCCAUGCCGCGUGAGCGAUGAAGGCCUUAGGGUUGUAAAGCUCUUUCAGGGGGGAAGAUAAUGACUGUACCCCCAGAAGAAGCCCCGGCUAACUCCGUG
rnacentral:rRNA from 1 species